GUGGGGAAUAUUGGACAAUGGGCGAAAGCCUGAUCCAGCCAUGCCGCGUGCAGGAUGAAGGCCUUCGGGUUGUAAACUGCUUUUGUACGGAACGAAAAGACUCCUUCUAAUAAAGGGGGUCCAUGACGGUACCGUAAGAAUAAGCACCGGCUAACUACGUGCCAGCAGCCGCGGUAAUACGUAGGGUGCAAGCGUUAAUCGGAAUUACUGGGCGUAAAGCGUGCGCAGGCGGUUAUAUAAGACAGAUGUGAAAUCCCCGGGCUCAACCUGGGAACUGCAUUUGUGACUGUAUAGCUAGAGUACGGUAGAGGGGGAUGGAAUUCCGCGUGUAGCAGUGAAAUGCGUAGAUAUGCGGAGGAACACCGAUGGGGAAGGCAAUCCCCUGGACCUGUACUGACGCUCAUGCACGAAAGCGUGGGGAGCAAACAGGAUUAGAUACCCGUGUAGUCC
rnacentral:rRNA from 1 species